ACACAAUCAAUUUAGUGGGAUGAGGAAGUGAUGUAAUUAGCUAGGGUGCUUAAAUAGGGAGGUUUUUGAACUCUGCUCUCAUUCCACUUUUGGAUCUCUGUGUAUGAGGACACACAAGGAGAGCUGCUGGGAAAUAAAAGAAGCUUAAUAUUAUUUAUCCCAUUGCCGGAUCCUCAUAUAUAUUUUUUGGACACAUGAAAGUAUUAUAGGUAAAUUAAAUAAAAAUUUGGACAAAUUAAUUACAAGCCUUUGGAAGAUUAAUAUUAACCAUCAGAUGGUCGCAAAUAGGAAGAUUCAUUAAAUACUACAAAACUAUGGAAGUUAAUUAUACAUAAUAAUUCUUAGUAAAAUAUGGAUUAUAAUUUUGUGAAAAUACAGCUGUUUCAAACUAAUUAAUUGCCUUUUCAUAAAAAACACUCCUGAAGAAGUCGACAUACGACGAAACGCGUUGAGUGUAAAAAUCUUUUAUUGUUUGGAAAAGUUGUUAUUCAAUUUUUUGGCUGUAAUGAACAAUAACACAUUGUAAAAGUGUACAUCAUUUUUUAUCAGUAUUGAAAUUUAAUUAUUUUAGCAAUAAAAAGCAAUAGAUGUUUUAAAGUUUAAA